GGAGAGGUGUCCGAGUGGCUUAAGGAGCACGCUUGGAAAGCGUGUGUACCUCUAAAGGGUACCGAGGGUUCGAAUCCCUCUCUCUCCG
rfam:Fabibacter misakiensis strain SK-8 scaffold5_cov71_read188, whole genome shotgun sequence.